rnacentral:rRNA from 1 species
UACGUAGGGUGCAAGCGUUAUCCGGAAUUAUUGGGCGUAAAGAGCUCGUAGGCGGUUUGUCACGUCUGCUGUGAAAACUGGAGGCUCAACCUCCAGCCUGCAGUGGGUACGGGCAGACUAGAGUGCGGUAGGGGAGAUUGGAAUUCCUGGUGUAGCGGUGGAAUGCGCAGAUAUCAGGAGGAACACCGAUGGCGAAGGCAGUUCUCUGGGCCGUAACUGACGCUGAGGAGCGAAAGCGUGGGGAGCGAACAGG